rnacentral:rRNA from 1 species
GUGUCAGCAGCCGCGGUAACACGUAGGCACCAAGCGUUGUCCGGAUUUAUUGGGCGUAAAGAGCUCGUAGGCGGUUCGGUAAGUCGGGUGUGAAAACCUUGGGCUCAACCCAAGGACUGCACUCGAUACUGCUGUGACUUGAGUCCGGUAGGGGAGUGGGGAAUUCCUGGUGUAGCGGUGGAAUGCGCAGAUAUCAGGAGGAACACCGGUGGCGAAGGCGCCACUCUGGGCCGGUACUGACGCUGAGGAGCGAAAGCGUGGGGAGCGAACAGGAUUAGAAACCCCCGUAGUCC